CAGCAGCCCAGACAGUUUUCUAAGCCCCUUCUCUUUCCCCAGUCUGUUGGAGCUUAGGGUAUUACAUCCCACCCUUGCCAGGAGGCAAGAGCCGAAGCUGCUGCCCCUCACCCACCAGUGCUAUCUCCCAGAGAGGUUUUCAUAGCUGGGGUCCCCUAGUAGUAAUUUUACUAAUAAUACAUGUAGUCUUAUAAGUGUGGGG
rnacentral:lncRNA from 1 species